rnacentral:rRNA from 1 species
GAUGAACGCUGGCGGCGUGCUUAACACAUGCAAGUCGAACGGAAAGGCCCAAGCUUGCUUGGGUACUCGAGUGGCGAACGGGUGAGUAACACGUGGGUGAUCUGCCCUGCACUUCGGGAUAAGCCUGGGAAACUGGGUCUAAUACCGGAUAGGACCACUUCUUGGAUGUUGUGGUGGAAAGUUUUUCGGUGUGGGAUGAGCUCGCGGCCUAUCAGCUUGUUGGUGGGGUAAUGGCCUACCAAGGCGUCGACGGGUAGCCGGCCUGAGAGGGUGUACGGCCACAUUGGGACUGAGAUACGGCCCAGACUCCUACGGGAGGCAGCAGUGGGGAAUAUUGCACAAUGGGCGCAAGCCUGAUGCAGCGACGCCGCGUGGGGGAUGACGGCCUUCGGGUUGUAAACUCCUUUCGCUAGGGACGAAGCUUAUUUUGUGACGGUACCUGGAGAAGAAGCACCGGCUAACUACGUG